UUGCAGUUUUAUGUUGUUGUUUGAUACUUUGCUUGAGUCAUUUUGCAAUAUUGUCGCUUGAUGAAUGGUUGCAACCCG
rnacentral:ribozyme from 12 species